CCUGUAAAUCUGAUGCACAAGCGACAUCCGUAAACAACAACGAUGGACGACGAAGCCGCUUCUCUUGGUCCACUGAGGGACUUUCGCUUUAAAAAACGUCCUGAUGGGACUUUCCAAAAGACUGCUGUUGUAUGCAAGUUGUGCAAAAAGGCGUUUGCUGCUCACCGAAGCUGCUCAAGCCUAAAAUACCAUCUCAAUGCCAAACAGCUGCUUUCAGCGGUAAAUAACCGGCCCAGCCGGCCCGCACUGGACCAGGCGACCGGGUUCAGGGCCGAAAUAAGGAAGUCUGGGUCUGAAACAACUCCCCGGCUAAAUGGAUCGCAGCAGACUGCAGACCGCUGUCGGGGGUCGAGGACAGGGGGCUACAGUCUGUGUUAGACCGCGACACCGGACCUGCUCACGAACUCCCGUGUAGGAAAACCAUGGCGGGGAAGAUCAGGCAGCUUUAUGGAGACGAAAAGCAGCCAAAACACGACCUGCUGAAUGCAGGUGAUCGCAUCUUUCGCCCUCACUGUAGAGAAAGCCAACAACAGACAUCAUGCAGGAAACUGCGCAGACCUUUUUUCUGUAGUUCUGGAAAAUUGAGCUAAAUGUGACAACAAUUGGCGCCGAUUGUGCAGAAACAUGAUGGCAACAGCGAGACGGCUCCCAUUUCAGCAGAUGCCGUGUGCUGCGCAUGUUAGUCAGAGAUCCGUCACUGUGCGCCUGGACAGUUGUGGAUUUAAUGAUGUUCUAGCAAAGUGCCGCAAGAUUGUGGGUCAUUUCAGACGCAGUCCAGCCACCACAGUGGAACUGUAUAAAGAGUAAAGGGCACCAGGAAAAUGACCCCUAAUCCAGGAUGUUUCCACAAGGUGUUCCACACUGUUUAUGAUCCGUCGUCUUGGAAACAGCCAUCCUUGAACCAUGCAGACAUGUGACUCAUCUUCUUGGUGGAGAGACUUGCGUCUCAUGUUCUGCGGUCUUGCCUGUCCUGUGAUUCCUGGACCACACUAUGAAGGUCUCUGAUGAGGAUUCUGCUUACAUUGUGAAAUUCAAGACCGCCUUCAUGAAGGACUUGUCAGAGCGGAAAGCUGCACUUAAUUAUGAUUGGCUCAAAAUGGCUACAGUGCUUGACCCUCGCUUUCAGGACUUAGAGUUGCUUGUGAGCACAGACUCUGUUAGGACAAAUAGUGAAAUGAGACAGAAACACAAUAUUUUAUGUUGUACCUUAUUAACAUCAUAUGGUCAUUUCAAAUUUAAUGCAUGGAACAUAUUCCAAAAAGGUUGGCACAGGAGUACGUCUACCACUGUGUUACAGAACUUUCCUUUUAACAACACUUAAUAAAACGUUUGGGGGCUGAAGACGGGUCCAGCUUUGGAGGCUUAA